rnacentral:rRNA from 1 species
GUAAUAAAUUGCUCGUUAAUUUCGGGCCAGAAUGAAAAGGCCAACCCUGUCUAAUUUCUUUGGGGAAGAAUAUGAAAUUAAAGGAAUAAAAAAAAAUUUCCUAAUUUGCAAGACGAGAAGACCCUAGAAGCUAACCAUAAAAGGUUUUUUGGGGAAAAAUUCUAAUAAUAUUUUUAGAAACAUAUAAAUUAAGAACUUAAAAAUAAGCUACUUUAGGGAUAACAGAACAAUAAAAUUGAAAAGACCAAAUAAAAAAUUUAGUUUGUGACCUCGAUGUUGGAUUCCUUUGUCGAAAUCUCGCAGCAGAGUUAGGCGAUUAGACUGUUCGUCUUUUUAACAAGG